AAUGAACGCUGGCGGCGCGCCUAAUACAUGCAAGUCGAGCGAGAAGACGUAGCAAUACGUUUGUAAAGCGGCGAACGGGUGAGGAAUACAUGGGUAACCUACCCUCGAGUGGGGAAUAACUAGCCGAAAGGUUAGCUAAUACCGCGUACGCUUCUUGGACUUCGGUUCAGGGAGGAAAGCGAUGCCGAGGGUAUCGCGCUCUUGGAUGGGCUCAUGUCCUACCAGCUUGUUGGUGAGGUAACGGCUCACCAAGGCUUCGACGGGUAGCUGGUCUGAGAGGACGAUCAGCCACACUGGCACUGCGACACGGGCCAGACUCCUACGGGAGGCAGCAGUAAGGAAUAUUGCGCAAUGGGCGAAAGCCUGACGCAGCGACGCCGCGUGGGGGA
rnacentral:rRNA from 1 species